GGUUGAUCCUGCCAGUUGUCAUAUGCUUGUUUCAAGGACUAAGCCAUGCAAAUGUCAGAGUACUUGUGCUUCGGCACAGGGGGGUCUGUGUACGGCUCAUUAAACGGUUUAUGGUCUACCCAACAAAGGAAGGACUUGUGCCUUUCCGACGGGAUAACUGCGCUAACCGUGCAGCUAAUACCUGGAAGAACUUUCCGCGACCAUCAAACUAAGCGUUUGGGAAACUGAAUUCUUAGGGUCUCGGAAGCUGUUGGCCGAAACAAAGACUAUCGCUCUUCACAGAGCAAGUGUAA
rnacentral:rRNA from 1 species